CCGUGGGCGCUGGAGAACUGAGGGGGGCUGCUCCUAGUACGAGAGGACCGGAGUGGACGCAUCACUGGUGUUCGGGUUGUCAUGCCAAUGGCACUGCCCGGUAGCUAAAUGCGGAAGAGAUAAGUGCUGAAAGCAUCUAAGCACGAAACUUGCCCCGAGAUGAGUUCUCCCUGAGACUUAGAGUCUCCUGAAGGAACGUUGAAGACGACGACGUUGAUAGGCCGGGUGUGUAAGCGCAGCGAUGCGUUGAGCUAACCGGUACUAAUGAACCGUGAGGCUUAACCUUAC
rnacentral:rRNA from 1 species